rnacentral:rRNA from 1 species
CGGGGCUUAAAGUCUUGUAAUUGGAAUGAUGGGAAUUUAAACCUCUUCCAGAGUAUCAAUUGGAGGGCAAGUCUGGUGCCAGCAGCCGCGGUAAUUCCAGCUCCAAUAGCGUAUAUUAAAAUUGUUGCAGUUAAAAAGCUCGUAGUUGAAUUUCUGCUGCAUUGCUUGUGUCCCUCUGGGGUCUGCGCAUGUGGCUUUUUUCGGACGGAGUUUCUUUGUCUGAAUGUUUACUUUGAGAAAAUUAGAGUGCUCAAAGCAGGCUUUCGCCUUGAAUAGUUUAGCAUGGAAUAAUAAAGUAGGACUUUGGUUCUAUUUUGUUGGUUUUAGGUACCAAAGUAAUGGUUAAUAGGAACAGUUGGGGGCAUUCGUAUUUAACUGUCAGAGGUGAAAUUCUUAGAUUUGUUAAAGACGAACUACUGCGAAAGCAUUUGCCAAGGAUGUUUUCAUUAAUCAAGAAC